rnacentral:piRNA from 1 species
UACGAAAGCCGGAAGAGGAAGCUA